rnacentral:lncRNA from 1 species
GAAAUUGUUUACAAAACAUAAUGUUCCUGAAAAAUGUUUCUCCUCUCUGUUCCAGGAUAAGACCAACACAAUGUUCCAGGCACUGUAAAUGUUUUCCUAAUUGAUGACAUGACAAUCAUCCAAGAAUCUCUAAAAUGCUAUGUAUCUGUGCUUUGUACAAUAUGAGCUAUGACUUUGACUCUUCUCAUGAGUUGUUGUGAGGAAAUAAUUUUACAAACAAACGUGAAAGAGGAACGUGAACUAUUGUUUAAGCAAGCAGUUUUCAGAGAUUUGGAACUCCUCCACUGAUCACAUCAGCCAUUUUCAGGUGGCAAAAAUUGGAAAAUGAGGGGGUAUCCCUCAAUUGAAGAAU